UCCAAAACAGUCUAAAAUGACACUGCAACUGUGAUUCUCUUAUAAUUUUCAAGUUUUACUUUUAUUUAUCAUUUGAUAUAUUUGUACCUUCAAUAAAAUUAAUGUAAAAAUAAAAUGAUGAUGGCUUUGAUAUUUUGGGAUCACCCCUGUUUCACAUUAUGAUUGCCCCUUCAGUUAUACUGUUGAAAAAUUUGAAUCUCAGACAUUAAUGGGUCAAGUGGUUAUAGUUGGAAGUAGUGCAAACCUGGAUUUAUUUUAAGCAAUUUUGGACAUAUCUUGUUUUAAAUGUUAGGGAGCAUAUUUUGGAAUUUUCAAAGAAAACAUUUAUCUAAGUGUGACAAGAUUCAGGAAAUGUUGGCUGUUGUAAUUGAACCUAAAGAUCAAUGACCUGGGACAGGAAGAUAAACAAAAGAAACAUGAUAGUAAAAAGGUUCAGAGUCAGCUUGUAAGCAAGGUUGCAAGACUGUUCCAAACUACAAGAAGAUGGCAAUCCAGCUUUGCUGUGUUUUAUCAUAGUAUAUCAUUGGCAUCCAGGCAUCGAUUAAGGAAGCCAACUGUAGACCAGGAAAGGCUUCAAGGAAUAUACUACAGAAUUGUAUCCUGGAGCAUUUUCCACAUGCGACCCCUGUGAUGGUGAGGGAAAAACUAAGGGACAUUUAAAAAUCAUGAAGAGUGAACAGGAAUUCAAAAGAUAGAUAUUUGAAUACAUUAAAAUUUAACCGGAUACCAAAAUAUUAUAACUGAACAUUUGAGUGUAAUAUUUACCAUUAAAGACUUCUAACUUAACUUUUCAUUUGUAGUGCAUUACUAUUUACUUCACACUGACAUUAAAUGUUUCAGUGAGUCAUGUGAUCAUUUUUUGCUCUGUAUUAUUACAAAGAAGUUUCUUAAUUCCUUAAAAUGACAAUAUAAUUGCUCUUUUCAGAAUAUUUGAUUGGAUGUUAUAUUUUCUGAUUUUCCAUGGAUAUUCUAGAAAUUUCCAAGGUUUUUGCUCAAAUAAACCUUGGAAAAUUCUCUGAUGCCCUUAAGUAAGAAUCCUCGAAAAUAUAACAGUAUUCCCAGUUGUGAGAAACUUUCCGAGGUUUUCAUUUAAAAACCUUGGAAAACAAACCACGGAAACACUUUAAAAAUCCUUGGAAAUCGUUCCAAUACUCCGAGGUCACUCAUUUUCCAAGGUUUUCUAAACAAAAUCCUCGGAAAUUAUUUUACGAGGUUUUUAUUCUGAAAUCCUUGGAAAUCGUUCCAAUACUCCGAGGUCAUACUUUUUACGAGGUUUUUUUUUAAAAAAAACUCGGAAAUUUUUUUACAAGGUUUUUCACCCUCUCCCUAUUUUUCCAAGGUUUUUUUAAUAGCAAAGUUUUGCAUUUUCUUGUUCCAAUACUCCGAGGUUUUUUUCCAAGGAUUUUGAGCCAAAAACCUUGGAAAAUCUACACCCGGGAAAUG